rnacentral:tRNA from 1 species
ACCUGGCUGGCUCAGUAGAGCAUGUGACUCGUGAUCUCAGGGUCAUGAGUUCAAGCCCCACGUCGGGCG